rnacentral:rRNA from 1 species
UACGAGUGCCCCAAGCGUUAUCCGGAAUCAUUGGGCGUAAAGGGUGUGUAGGCGGUUGUGUUAGUCUUUUGUUAAAGCUCUCGGCUUAACCGGGAAGAUGCAAAAGAAACGGCACAACUAGAGGAUGCGAGAGGUGAAUGGAACUCAUAGUGUAGGGGUGAAAUCCGUUGAUAUUAUGGGGAACACCAAAAGCGAAGGCAAUUCACUGGCGUAUUCCUGACGCUGAGACACGAAAGCGUGGGUAGCGAAUGGG